rnacentral:lncRNA from 1 species
AUGAAUUAUAGGGCCGGCUUCCAGAGGAUACACUGUUAAUUUUGAGGUGCUAAACUAGCACCAACGUAGGUGUCAAAUCAGCACAAUGCAGUGGUGCUAAAUAGAAAGUGCUAUUUUGACACCAAUUUCGGCGCUAAUUUAACACCAUCAAAUCUGACAUUACGCUAAAAGUGCCAAUAUGACACCUUUUAAAUUCAGCACCAUUGUAAUGUGUUGAAAUAACACCUCUGUUGCCGACGGAAAGUGCUAAAAUAACGCUAUAUUGAGAGCUAAAGUACGGGGUGUCAAAAUAACACUAAAUGGCGGAUAGGAAAAAAGCGGUUCUUUAAGUAAUUAUUGGAAAAUAAGUCCGUAUUUUCGAUUCAUGAUCAGAUGUUUUGGAACAAGAAAUUCCUGUGCGUUUUGGCACAACUAUUCAUCUGAGUGAUCUGACGACAUGGAAAUUCGGCUUGUUCUGAUACAAAAAAAACGAUAGAGACGAAUACUAGACAAAUGGUACAUCGAUAGUAUCGAUAUUCGAUAGUGAUUCAUUGUCCUUUUCAUUUUAUCAAACUAUGUUAUUCCGCGCUAUAUUUUCGGACUGCCUAUGUAUUGAUUGCUACAAAGUAUUUAUUUCGCAAUCGCCUGCGCUAUAUGUAUGUCCAUAUAAGGAACAAAAUGUAACACGUGAUCAGCGCCUGCAUGCAAAUUUUUGAGCGCGUCGUUUGAAAACUCUUUUGAAACGUACUUCAUACUGCCAUGUUGAAGACGUUUUGAGCGUUAUUUCUUAACUAUUUUGGUACUUCUGAAUAUGCUGAACAACAACGAACUCACAUAAGGAAAUAUCAAGACAAUUGGCCAUGACAUUAUCUCAGAAAUAUCUUGAGAAGCCAAAUGAAUUCUACUUUUAAUACUGCGAUGAUCUCUUUAGCAAUCUGGGUCAAAGAAAAUAUCAUUGCAAUAAUAGUUUUCACCAAGAGUGAACAAAGGCUUCAAUGUGGAAAAUUAAGGGGAAACUGUAAUUCUAAUGAUUCACUAGGGAAUAAGGGAUGUGUAUACAAUUAAUGUAUCCAACCAUGGAAGAAAAACAAAGUAUUUCACCUAUGAAAAUUUAGAAAUAUCCCUUCCUUGCUGACUCAAUUGUGGUGGAACAGGUUCAUGGAUCAUAACAAGGGCAAGGGUAGAAACAAUUUAAGAAAAAUAUCCUGCACUCCAGCUUAUUACAGAGGUAAAAGCUGAAUUUUAAACAGUAAACUACAAGUUGAUCCAUGAUAUGGUUGGCAAAUUUCAAUCCAUUGAUUCAGAAAAAUGUUUUGGACUAUGCCAAGAAAUGUAACAAGAAAACUACAUUGGUUCUUAUAAACAGAGUGGAGAGAGCAAUUGCUGGGAAAUCAGACAUCAAGAGCACAGUUGCUUAGAUUUUGAAGGAACUAUUGAAGGAGAAUGCAGGAGAAUCUCAGUCUCUCUUCUUUAAGAUUUGUUCUGUUGUUGAUUCCAUAGAUCAGGAUAAUUGGUUCAGAAGACCUUUCAGAUGUUCAAACUUUGAUGAUUGCGGUGGAGGGGCAAAUGUUAACUUAUUCAAGAACAGACUCGACCCUAUUUUAUCUACUAAACAUGGAGUACAUUGCUGGUGUGGCAAAUGGAAACUGCUCUCGUCAGGAAGCCUUAGCCUUAGGACAAAAACUUUUAAAGGACGUUAAGUACCCUAGACAUUUUAUACACUCUUGUACAUAGAUUUUCCUGUCACAACAUAUGUAGAAAUAAAUAUUUUUAAAUCGCAUUUUGUCCACUUUGUAUGAUUAUAGCUUAUGCUAUUUAGUCGCUCCAUUGCUAGCGCUAAAAGUGCAAAAACUAAACCACACAAACUUCGGGUGUUAGAUUAACACCAUAAAUUGGCGUAAAAGUAGCACCAAAGAUCGUGCUAAUUUGACACCUUAUUUCGCGGUGUCAAUUUAGCACCCGAAAUGGUGUUAUUCUGUACCUUUUUAUCUGACACCUUUUUUGG